rnacentral:rRNA from 1 species
GACGAACGCUGGCGGCGUGCUUAACACAUGCAAGUCGAACGGAAAGGCCCUUCGGGGUACUCGAGUGGCGAACGGGUGAGUAACACGUGGGUGAUCUGCCCUGCACUUUGGGAUAAGCCUGGGAAACUGGGUCUAAUACCGAAUAGGACUACGGCCUUCAUGGGUUGUGGUGGAAAGCUUUUGCGGUGUGGGAUGGGCCCGCGGCCUAUCAGCUUGUUGGUGGGGUAAUGGCCUACCAAGGCGACGACGGGUAGCCGGCCUGAGAGGGUGACCGGCCACACUGGGACUGAGAUACGGCCCAGACUCCUACGGGAGGCAGCAGUGGGGAAUAUUGCACAAUGGGCGCAAGCCUGAUGCAGCGACGCCGCGUGAGGGAUGACGGCCUUCGGGUUGUAAACCUCUUUCAGCGGGGACGAAGCGAAAGUGACGGUACCCGCAGAAGAAGCACCGGCUAACUACGUGCCAGCCGCCGCCGUAACAC